UACGUAGGUGGCAAGCGUUAUCCGGGUUUACUGGGUGUAAAGGGCGUGUAGGCGGGGACGCAAGUCAGAUGUGAAAACCACGGGCUCAACCUGUGGCCUGCAUUUGAAACUGUGUUUCUUGAGUACUGGAGAGGCAGACGGAAUUCCUAGUGUAGCGGUGAAAUGCGUAGAUAUUAGGAGGAACACCAGUGGCGAAGGCGGUCUGCUGGACAGCAACUGACGCUGAGGCGCGAAAGCGUGGGGAGCAAACAGG
rnacentral:rRNA from 1 species